CACGUAGGGCGCAAGCGUUGUCCGGAAUUAUUGGGCGUAAAGAGCUCGUAGGCGGUCUGUUGCGUCCGCUGUGAAAACCCGGGGCUUAACCCUGGGCUGGCAGUGGAUACGGACAGACUAGAGGUAGGUAGGGGAGAAUGGAAUUCCCGGUGUAGCGGUGAAAUGCGCAGAUAUCGGGAGGAAUACCGGUGGCGAAGGCGGCAUCCUGGACCGACAUUGACGCUGAGGAGCGAAAGCUAGGGGAGCAAACGGG
rnacentral:rRNA from 1 species